AGGACGAACGCUGGCGGCGUGCUUAACACAUGCAAGUCGAACGGUAAGGCCCUUCGGGGUACACGAGUGGCGAACGGGUGAGUAACACGUGGGUAAUCUGCCCUGCACAUCGGGAUAAGCCUGGGAAACUGGGUCUAAUACCGAAUAGGACCACAAGACACAUGUCCUGUGGUGGAAAGCUUUUGCGGUGUGGGAUGGGCCCGCGGCCUAUCAGCUUGUUGGUGGGGUGAUAGCCCACCAAGGCGACGACGGGUA
rnacentral:rRNA from 1 species